UACGUAGGGCGCAAGCGUUGUCCGGAAUUAUUGGGCGUAAAGAGCUCGUAGGCGGUUUGUCGCGUCUGCUGUGAAAUCCCGAGGCUCAACCUCGGGCUUGCAGUCGAUACGGGCAGACUUGAGUUCGGUAGGGGAGACUGGAAUUCCUGGUGUAGCGGUGAAAUGCGCAGAUAUCAGGAGGAACACCGGUGGCGAAGGCGGGUCUCUGGGCCGAUACUGACGCUGAGGAGCGAAAGCGUGGGGAGCGAACAGG
rnacentral:rRNA from 1 species